CUUGCCUCUCUUGUCUCAGCGUCCUCUCUGCCCUCAUAUCCCCACCCCCAUUCAUUCAUGACACACAGUACACACGCACACACACCACACACAAAACACACGCCACACACACACACCACACACACACACACACACCACACACAAAACACACGCCACACACACACACACCACACACACAACACACACACACACAAAACACAUGCCACACAUACACACACACACACACACACACCACACACAAAACACACGCCACACACACACACACCACACACACAACACACACACACACAAAACACAUGCCACACACACACCACACACACACACACACACCACACACAAAACACACGCCACACACACACACCACACACACAACACACACACACACAAAACACAUGCCACACACACAACACACACACACACAAAACACACGCCACACACACAACACACGCCACACACACACACACCACACACACACACACACACACAAAACACACACCACACACACACCCCCCACACACACAACACACACACACAAAACACACGCCACACACAACACACACACACACAAAACACACGCCACACACACAACACACACACACACACAAAACACACGCCACACACACACACACACCAUAGACACACACCACAGACACACACCACAAACACACACACACCACAAACACUACACACACCACAGACAGUACACACACCACACAUACAUACACCACACAUACACACACCACACACACACACCACAAACACACACACACCACAAACACUACACACACCACAGACAGUACACACACCACACAUACAUACACCACACAUACACACACCACACACACACACCACACACACACAAUAUACACACACCACACACACACACACCACACACACACACCACACACACACCACACACACACAUCACAGACACACACAUACCACACACACUACACACACCACAGACACUACACACACCACACACACACACACCACACACAAAACACAUGCCACACACACACCACACACACACACACUACACACACACACACAGAACACACACACCACACACACACACCACAAACACACACACACCACACACACUACACACACCACAGACACACCACACACACAAAACACACGCCACACACACACACACCACACACACACACACCACACACACACACCACACACACACACAUACCACACACACUACACACACCACAGACACUACACACACCACACAUACAUACACCACACAUACACACACCACACACACACACACCACACACAAAACACAUGCCACACACACACCACACACACACACACCACACACACACACACCACACACACUACACACACCACACACACUACACACACCACACACACUACACACACCACAGACACACCACACACACACACACCACACACACACUGAUCUCCAGGAGGGGAAGGUGCUCUUCCAUGUUUGUCCUCAUCUCUAUCUGCCCCUAGUGCC
rnacentral:lncRNA from 1 species